rnacentral:lncRNA from 1 species
GCGAGAGACGGAUAAGAGGCAGUGUGAGCCAGCGAAGAACGGCUGCAUGUGAAGGAGUAGGAGGAAGCUGGCUAUGUGGCAGACGCGAGAAAGGAAGCUGGCGGGGACGGGGGUGUGCAUGCCAGGGCCCCUGACUGCCUCGGACUGAAAGGGGGGUUCAGGGAAGGAAGUAGCUGCGCCGAAGAGGCCGAAACCCGCCGGGAGAAGGGCUAAGUCUCCGGCUUCGGGGUCGCGCUGAGCCUCCG